GGAGGAGGAGAAGGAAAAGGAAGUGAAAGAAAAAGACUGAAACUGCUUCUUUGUCGCAUUGGUAGGACAUGAAAUCAGAGCUGUGCUAAAAGUACACUGAAUGGCUGUGUCACAGAGCUGCUGCUGCUCUCUGUGUAGCUGAUCUUUAGAGCUGUGGUGAAUCUGUCUCAAUAGUUUGAGCUCCUGCUCUGAAUUAUCUAAUGCUGCUGGUGGAAGGUGGGAUGGGGCAGGGUGGUGACACCUGGAACUGCUACCACCAAACAGAGUUUCUCUUACUGCAGCACACUACGGUCUCCCUCAUCACCAAUUCACGAGGAGGAUGAAGAGAAGCUCUCUGAGGAUUCGGACUCACAACCAGCACUGGGCGAGGGCGAGCUGGUCCUGAGGGAGACCAGCUCCCCAGAAAGUGUGGCAGGGGAAGAGAUGGAGGACAGCUCAUCCCUGCAGAAAAGUGGCUGUCCUCCCUCUGUCGAAGAUGUCCUGCAGGAUGGUGGCUGCGGGGAGCACAGGAGCCUGACGCAGUCGGACACGGACCCUCCGGUCGAUGUCUACCUGCCAGCACUGGGUCCUGAUUCCUGCUCUAUUGGUAUAGAGGAGUAAGCUGGUACGUCUUCCGUUCUUCUUACUCAUCGCCGUGGUGGGGCAGCAGCAACCCUGGGACCGC